rnacentral:rRNA from 1 species
AUUGAACGCUGGCGGCAGGCCUAACACAUGCAAGUCGAGCGAGCGGCGGACGGGUGAGUAAUGUCUGGGAAACUGCCUGAUGGAGGGGGAUAACUACUGGAAACGGUAGCUAAUACCGCAUACCAUCAGAUGUGCCCAGAUGGGAUUAGCUAGUCGGUGGGGUAAUGGCUCACCUAGGCGACGAUCCCUAGCUGAUCUGAGAGGAUGACCAGCCAUCAUUGAACUGAGACAAGCUCCAGACUCCGACGGGAGGCAGCAGUGGGGAAUAUUGCACAAUGGGCGCAAGCCUGAUGCAGACAUGCCGCGUGUGUGAAGAAGGCAUGCGGGUUGUAAAGCACUUUCAGCGGGGAGGCGUUACCCGCAGAAGAAGCACAGGCUAACUCCGUGCCAGCCGCCGCGGUAAUUU